GACGAACGCUGGCGGCGCGCUUAACACAUGCAAGUCGAACGGAAAGGCCCUGCUUUUGUGGGGUGCUCGAGUGGCGAACGGGUGAGUAACACGUGAGUAACCUGCCCUUGACUUUGGGAUAACUUCAGGAAACUGGGGCUAAUACCGGAUAGGAGCUCCUGCUGCAUGGUGGGGGUUGGAAAGUUUCGGCGGUUGGGGAUGGACUCGCGGCUUAUCAGCUUGUUGGUGGGGUAGUGGCUUACCAAGGCUUUGACGGGUAGCCGGCCUGAGAGGGUGACCGGCCACAUUGGGACUGAGAUACGGCCCAGACUCCUACGGGAGGCAGCAGUGGGGAAUAUUGCACAAUGGGCGGAAGCCUGAUGCAGCAACGCCGCGUGCGGAAUGACGGCCUUCGGGUUGUAAACCGCUUUCGCCUGUGACGAAGCGUGAGUGACGGUAAUGGGUAAAGAAGCACCGGCUAACUACGUG
rnacentral:rRNA from 1 species